GACAGAGGGUGCAAACGUUGUUCGGAAUUACUGGGCGUAAAGCGCGUGUAGGCGGCCAUGCAAGUCGGAUGUGAAAGCCCUCGGCUCAACCGGGGAAGUGCACUCGAAACUGCAAGGCUAGAGUCUCGGAGAGGAUCGUGGAAUUCUCGGUGUAGAGGUGAAAUUCGUAGAUAUCGAGAGGAACACCGGUGGCGAAGGCGGCCUUCUGGACAGUGACUGACGCUGAGACGCGAAAGCGUGGGGAGCAAACAGG
rnacentral:rRNA from 1 species